UACGUAGGGGGCUAGCGUUGUCCGGAAUUAUUGGGCGUAAAGAGCUCGUAGGCGGUUUGUCGCGUCUGCCGUGAAAGUCCGGGGCUCAACUCCGGAUCUGCGGUGGGUACGGGCAGACUAGAGUGAUGUAGGGGAGACUGGAAUUCCUGGUGUAGCGGUGAAAUGCGCAGAUAUCAGGAGGAACACCGGUGGCGAAGGCGGUGGUCUGGGCCGGCACUGACGCUGAGGAGCGAAAGCGUGGGUAGCAAACAGG
rnacentral:rRNA from 1 species